rnacentral:rRNA from 1 species
GACGAACGCUGGCGGCGUGCCUAAUACAUGCAAGUAGAACGCUGAAACUUGGUGCUUGCACCGAGCGGAUGAGUUGCGAACGGGUGAGUAACGCGUAGGUAACCUGCCUGGUAGCGGGGGAUAACUAUUGGAAACGAUAGCUAAUACCGCAUAAGAGUAGAUGUUGCAUGACAUUUGCUUAAAAGGUGCAAUUGCACCACUACCAGAUGGACCUGCGUUUUAUUAGCUAGUUGGUGGGGUAACGGCUCACCAAGGCGACGAUACAUAGCCGACCUGAGAGGGUGAUCGGCCACACUUGGACUGAGACACGGCCCAGACUCCUACGGGAGGCAGCAGUAGGGAAUCUUCGGCAAUGGACGGAAGUCUGACCGAGCAACGCCGCGUGAGUGAAGAAGGUUUUCGGAUCGUAAAGCUCUGUUGUAAGAGAAGAACGAGUGUGAGAGUGGAAAGUUCACACUGUGACGGUAUCUUACCAGAAAGGGACGGCUAACUACGUG